AGCACAAAAGUUUGGUCCUGACUUUACUGUCAGCUAUCGCUAAAUUUACACAUGCAAGUAUCCGCGUCCCCGUGAGAAUGCCCUUCAAUCUCUGAAUGAGAUCAAGGAGCUGGUAUCAGGCACACUUAAAUGUAGCCCACAACACCUUGCUUAGCCACACCCCCAAGGGAAUUCAGCAGUGAUAAAUAUUAAGCCAUAAGUGAAAACUUGACUUAGUUAAUGCUACUAAGGGUCGGUUAAACUCGUGCCAGCCACCGCGGUUAUACGAGAGACUCAAGUUGAUAGUCAUCGGCGUAAAGAGUGGUUAAGACGAAUAGAAACUAAAGCCAAAUGCCUUCAAAACUGUUAUACGCUCUCGAAGGUGAGAAGCUCAACUACGAAAGUGGCUUUAUUAUAUCUGACUCCACGAAAGCUAGGGUACAAACUGGGAUUAGAUACCCCACUAUGCCUAGCCCUAAACAUUGACAGUUAAUUACACCCACUGUCCGCCUGGGAACUACGAGCGCUAGCUUAAAACCCAAAGGACUUGGCGGUGCUUUAGACCCACCUAGAGGAGCCUGUUCUAGAACCGAUAAUCCCCGUUAAACCUCACCCUUCCUUGUUCUUUCCCGCCUAUAUACCGCCGUCGUCAGCUUACCCUGUGAAGGUCCAAUAGUAAGCACAAUCGGCAAUGCCCAAAACGUCAGGUCGAGGUGUAGCGAAUGGAAGGGGAAGAAAUGGGCUACAUUUACUGAUACAGUAAAUACGGAUGAUUACCCUGCAACGAGUAUCUGAAGGAGGAUUUAGCAGUAAGCAAAAAGCAGAGUGUUUUGCUGAAAUUGGCCCUGAAGCGUGCACACACCGCCCGUCACUCUCCCCGAACUAAAAUCUUAUAAGCAUAACUAAUAUGCCAUAACUGUAAAGGGGAGGCAAGUCGUAACAUGGUAAGCGUACCGGAAGGUGCGCUUGGAAAAAUU
rnacentral:ncRNA from 1 species